rnacentral:rRNA from 1 species
UCCGGUUGAUCCUGCCGGAGGUCACUGCUAUUGGGAUUCGAUUAAGCCAUGCGAGUCGAGAGGGUUCGGCCCUCGGCAGACGGCUCAGUAACACGUGGAUAAUCUGCCCUAUGGUGGAGGAUAACCUCGGGAAACUGAGAAUAAUACUCCAUAGGUCUAAGAUGCUGGAAUGCACUUAGGCUGAAAACUCCGGUGCCAUAGGAUGAGUCUGCGGACUAUCAGGUUGUAGUCAGGGUAACGACCUGACUAGCCUACGACGGAUACGGGUUGUGAGAGCAAUAACCCGGAGAUGAUAUCUGAGACACGAUAUCAGGCCCUACGGGGCGCAGCAGGCGCGAAAACUUCACAAUGUGCGAAAGCACGAUGAGGGAAUCCCAAGUGCUUGCACGUAAGUGUAAGCUGUUUCUCUGUCUAAAAAGCAGAGAGAGUAAGGGCUGGGUAAGACGGGUGCCAGCCGCCGCGGUAAUACCUGCAGCUCGAGUGGUGACCGCUAUUAUUGGGCCUAAAACGUCCGUAGCCGGUUUAAUAAAUGCCUGGGUAAAUCGGACCGCUUAACGGUUCGAAUUCCGGGUAGACUGUUAAACUUGAGACCGGGAGAAGUUAGAGGUACUCCAGGGGUA